rnacentral:rRNA from 1 species
GUCUACGGCUAUUCCACCCUGAACAAGCCCGAUCCUGUCUGAUCUCAGAAGCUAAGCAGAGUCAGAUAUGGUUAGUACUUGGAUGGGAGACUGCCUAGGAAGAUCAGGUGUUGUAGGUG